rnacentral:rRNA from 1 species
GUGGGGAAUAUUGGACAAUGGGCGAAAGCCUGAUCCAGCCAUGCCGCGUGUGUGAAGAAGGUCUUCGGAUUGUAAAGCACUUUAAGUUGGGAGGAAGGGUAGUAACCUAAUACGUUGCUACUUUGACGUUACCGACAGAAUAAGCACCGGCUAACUUCGUGCCAGCAGCCGCGGUAAUACGAAGGGUGCAAGCGUUAAUCGGAAUUACUGGGCGGAAAGCGCGCGUAGGUGGUUCAGUAAGUUGGAAGUGAAAUCCCCGGGCUCAACCUGGGAACUGCUUUCAAAACUGCUGAGCUAGAGUACGGUAGAGGGUGGUGGAAUUUCCUGUGUAGCGGUGAAAUGCGUAGAUAUAGGAAGGAACACCAGUGGCGAAGGCGACCACCUGGACUGAUACUGACACUGAGGUGCGAAAGCGUGGGGAGCAAACAGGAUUAGAAACCCCGGUAGUCC